GGUGAAAAGCACCCCGGAAGGGGAGUGAAAUAGAACCUGAAACCGUGUGCUUACAAGUAGUCAGAGCCCGUUAAUGGGUGAUGGCGUGCCUUUUGUAGAAUGAACCGGCGAGUUACGAUUUGAUGCAAGGUUAAGCAGUAAAUGUGGAGCCGUAGCGAAAGCGAGUCUGAAUAGGGCGUUUAGUAUUUGGUCGUAGACCCGAAACCAGGUGAUCUACCCUUGGUCAGGUUGAAGUUCAGGUAACACUGAAUGGAGGACCGAACCGACUUACGUUGAAAAGUGAGCGGAUGAACUGAGGGUAGCGGAGAAAUU
rnacentral:rRNA from 1 species